rnacentral:lncRNA from 1 species
CAGUGAUAAGAUAGAUAGGCAAAACAUAGAAGGACAAAAGUAAGAUAGCUUGUUUGAAUGAUAGGGAGAUCACAGCUCAAACAAAUUAAGAUAGCUUACUUGUAAGACUAGGAGAUCCUUUCAUCUCAAACAAAUCAUGUCUCCGCUGAUGGCUAGAAUCUCGCUUCACAAUCCAACAAUCUGAAAUUAUCACGGAGGCUGGCGGCUAGGAAGAAGGGUUGAUCGCCAGCCAAGACGGAUGGAGAUGGAGCUGAAUGUGCAGUGGCACCAUGGAUCGAACUACCACCCCUUGUUGAAUGGACACCAUCUUGUACCUUUAGCUGUCGAUCCGAGAGCUCUGCAUUAGAAGGAACAAUAGGUCAGAUGAGACUAUAUGGACGUGUGUGGAGUAAAUAAAGAGCAACAAUAGAUGUGCAUGCAAUUAUCCCUCGCCGGCAAGUGGCACACGUCGAUCAGUUACCAUUAAAAUCUUGUAACAUCGGUUAUUUACCUCCUUGAUUUCCAACGACUAAUCGUUGCUCAUGCGGUGACCCUCUCGCCUGUAUCGAAUGGAAAAGGCAUAAAAUCGCCAGGCCAGCGAGGCAUACAUGGAACAGUAGACCCAUACGCCUAAAUAACAGACUGUGGAUUUAUUAUGUGAGCAUCGGCCCAGCUUGUAUAGCACUCAGUGUUCAGCACCGAAGCCCACACGGGAUUGGAAGUACUCCCUCCAUUUCUAAAUACAAGUCUUUUUAUAUAUUUCAAUAAGGAUUGGAUAUGGAAUGUAUUUUUGAGCGUACAUUCAUUCAUUUUUCUCUGCAUGUAGUCCAUAUUGGAAUCUCUAAAAAGAAUUAUAUUAUGGGACGGAGGGAGUACAUCCAAGGGUCGGAAACGUAUAGAAGUUCAGAUAGAAUGGCUCAACACGUUGACAGCCUGAGAUUGAUAGAUUAAGCAAGGUUUAUGCGAGAGGAAAUUAUUUGUAUACCUCGGAGAAGCUGCUGCAGUAUAAUUUCAAUUUGGGUAAAUGGGAAACAAAUUCAGUUUCUAUUGGGCUGUAAUUCUUGUGACACUUUAUGAUAACAUGAACAACCUCUUGUCUAAUGCCACCUCUAAAACAAAAACAGUUAUGCAAUUAGUCCAGGGCAUUUCUGCAUGGAUGAGUUGGGUAAGAAAUCAUAUGAACUCAACCCAACUUGAAGGUUUCCCACGCGCAAGUGCUCACUGUCCAUUGACACUUUGAUAAGACCUGACAGCGGCUGCUCUGAAAAUGAAAGUACAUUCAGUUGCCUCCUAGUCAGUUUUAGUCCUAACAACAAAAGGAAACGAGAAUAAGAUUGCACUCAAGUUUGACAACUUCAGGUUGAGAUUUCUUCAAAGUUAUUGAUCAUCUUCUGUUGCCAUCCACAUACCAACUCCUAGUCAGUUUUUUUUCCCCGUCAAAAAAAAACUUGUUGGUACAGACGAAGGAACGUGUCCAGCGGCGUACCUCUGACCGGGUGCUCGUGCGAGGUUGGAUUUGGCGGCAGCACUGCCAAGGACUCCAGAUGUUGUGUAGGAAAAAUUAGGUACUGGCUCCCGUGGUGUGGUGCCGCAACUGGCCUGAGGUGGAGCUCGCCGCAGUCACGAGAGAAGACAGGAAAAGGAGAGGGCGGCCAAGGACUGAGGCACGAGGAGCUGCGAGGCAAAGGGGAGGACAACGGUGGCUGCGGACCGUGUGUCGUGGGCGAGAGAGGAGAGAUUGGGAGUGGG